rnacentral:tRNA from 1 species
GCCUUAUUAGCUCAGUGGUAGAGCGCGUCACUAGUAAUGACGAGGUCAGUCGUUCAAAUCGGCUAUGAGGCA